rnacentral:rRNA from 1 species
GUAGGUGGCAAGCGUUGUCCGGAAUUAUUGGGCGUAAAGCGCGCGCAGGCGGUUCUUUAAGUCUGAUGUGAAAGCCCACGGCUCAACCGUGGAGGGUCAUUGGAAACUGGAGAACUUGAGUACAGAAGAGGAAAGCGGAAUUCCACGUGUAGCGGUGAAAUGCGUAGAGAUGUGGAGGAACACCAGUGGCGAAGGCGGCUUUCUGGUCUGUAACUGACGCUGAGGCGCGAAAGCGUGGGGAGCAAACAGGAUUAGAUACCCUGGUAGUCCACGCCGUAAACGAUGAGUGCUAAGUGUUAGGGGGGUUUUACCCGCCCCCCUUAGUGCUGCAGCUAACGCAUUAAGCACUCCGCCUGGGAGUACGGCCGCAAGGCUG